AUUGAACGCUGGCGGCAUGCCUUACACAUGCAAGUCGAACGGUAACAGGCCGCUUGCUCCUGACUUCUGCGGAGCGGGGGUGUAAUAUGCCUGAGCGUGUGCAGUCUAGGGGGAUAUCACGUCGGGAGAGGGGCGCUAAUCCCACACGCGCUCUGGGGGAGAGCGUGGGGGAUCAUCGGCUCGCACGCUUUGAGCUGCCCCUAGGUCGGAUUAGCUAGUUGGUGGGGUAAAGGCCCACCAAGGCGACGAUCUGUAACUGGUCUGAGAGGAUGAUCAGCCACACUGGAACUGAGACACGGUCCAGACUCCUACGGGAGGCAGCAGUGGGGAAUUUUGGACAAUGGGCGAAAGCCUGAUCCAGCCAUGCCGCGUGUGGGAAGAAGGUCUUCGGAUUGUAAACUGCUUUAAGUUGGGAGGAAGCGCAGUUAGUUAAUACCUUGCGGUAAUGACGGUACCGACAGAAUAAGCACCGGCUAACUACGUG
rnacentral:rRNA from 1 species